UCAAAUGAUUUGAGCCCUCACAUUCAGCACGAGAAAUCUAUGUUUUAGCUCAGCUCAUAUAACGGAUGGCUGUUCCGUGCCAGUCAUCAGACAUCAAUCCCAAGCUUGGCAAUCAUGGCGGCUUCUGUUAUUUUUGUCACCAUCCCACCAGUUGUAUCAUGAGCAGCUACCGUGAAUUCAACUGUCAAUCAAAGAUUCAGGAAUAUCAAGUUUCAGUACCGACCAUCUUCCAUCUUCACGUACAGCUGCAACAAGUAAACAUUGUUCCGAUAUGAUGCAGCUAGCUUACUGCAGGUGCUUUAUGGAAAAAAACAAUAUAUU